AGGCCUUGGCAAACAGCGUAGACCCAGAUGAGACGCCGCAUGAUGCGGCGUCUCAUCAGGGUCUGCGCUGUUUGCUUAAAGGAAUUUCUGUAAGAAAUAUUCUAAAUACAGAAAUAAAUAUACUAGACAUCCAUAAUUUUGCAAAUAAAUUGAUUCAAUUUAGAAGGAUGGGAGAGUCCAUUAGGCUUAAAUGGAUUAAACUUCGCUGAAAUCCUGGAGGCCGUUUUAUCAACAGAUCUUAGCGUGAUCUUACGUAAGAUUCGUAGGAUUUUGUCGUACGCUGAUCGUAAGUGCUGCGUACCGUUUUAUCAAAGAAAUCGCAGUUAAGAUGUCGUAAGAUUUGUGCUUAAAGCUACGACUGGGUAAGACCACUCUUAGCGUUCGUAAACCUUCGUAAACACGGCGGCCGCACGCGCUUUAAACGUUGGUCAACCAAGAGAGAUGAGAAUGUUUCGAAAAAGAAAGGAUUUAGAGAUCUCCGUGAUGGAAAAAUAUUGAUACUAUUGGACGUAUUUAUGUUUGAUAACGUUAAAUAUAUUCGUUAAAUCAUUUUCUGCAUUCUGUCCAAGGGAAAUUAAAUUUGUGAUGUUUGGAUAAUUAAUUCGUUAAAUAGGUUCAUUGAGAUUGUGUCAAAAUGGCUUGGGUCAACACACACGACGCCUCUGUCUUUGUCCGUGGUUUGAAGACUUUUCUGGAAGAAAACCACAAGAGACACCUACUGGGGGACUCCGGCUAUCAAGUUCAAUAGGUACAACAAUGCCCAGUCAAGUGUUCUGUGGUUGAUAGGGCUUUUGGACUGCCAAAGAGUAGAUUUAGGUGUCUACAUAAAACUGGCGGUUGUUUAUUCAUGAGACACGAUGAGUGCUGUCAAGCAGUGGCUGCAUGAAUGCGCCUGCACAAUUUAUGCAUAGAUUAGCAGGUGCCACUGCCUGAACAACUUACUGAGGCACAAGAAGUGGAUGACGUUGUGCACAGUCCACAACAGGGCCAAAAUGCUGCUUAUAUGGACAACACAUCAUUAACUUAUUUAUGUAGUUGCUGUUUUAUGCUCACAUGUGCACGAAGUGCUAUAGGUGAGUCAUUGUGGUCAGUCUAUGUUCGGCAACAUGUGUUAAAGCGGGUAUAUACGAUUUUGUCAAAUAUUUAUGAAUUUAUAUAAACUGUGUAAAAAACUUAUUUUAUAUAUAUUUCAAUAUAAAUUAAAAUAAAAGUUAAGAAGAACAUAUGUCGAAAAAUGCGAAAUAAGCCAGAUAUUUAAUUCUGAAAUUGAAAACGGCUGUACAGCCGAAUUCGCCAGCAUGUAUACCAUACAUGUACGAUGUGCAUCUAAACUUAGUUUAAUGGUUUAUUUGAAUUCCUGCAACGAUAUCUAUUCAUACGACACACGAACACUAUCUGCGAUCCUAAUACAAAGACGAAUGCUUCGGUUAUUGUAGGAAAAUAUGUACGUCACUAUCGGCUCGGGGCGCUAAUUUGUCUUUGCUGCAUUUUAUGAAAUUCGGCUUUAAUGUAUAAUUUUUCUUGCCUAUUUUGUGUUAUUGUAACAUAUUUUAUCAAUAUAUUACAAUUAAACACAUAUAAAAAAUCGUAUAUACCCGCUUUAAUAUUCAAUAUUUGACUCUUUGUUGAUGAAACAUGGUCAUUAUGUUUCUGCUAAUGAUACAUAAUAACUUAAAAAGUUAAUGAUUUCUUGUCUAUGAGCUGCUGCAUUUCGGUCAAGUGUGGUCAACAUCUUUGUAAAAGUGUGGAUAUUGACAAUUUCUGCCGUUCUUUUUUGGAUUUUUUUCAUUAAAGACACACUUUUUACAAUAUUCAUUUAUGCAAUGCGUACGAUGAUUACAUGUUUCCUUUAUAGUAUAACAAAGUAAAAAUAAAUUCUACUCCUUUAUUUAAUUAUCUUUGUAACAUAACAAUACAGGGUUUUCUCCAACAACUCUACAGCUAGGGAACAAUGAAGUGGAACACUAUCUGAAAAUGAAAUACAUUUUAUGUUAAUAAAAUUUGUAUUUUUAAGACAAGUGAUGAAAUAAAAGGUUAACAUUGUAACAUAAAGAGAUGUGGUUUCUGUUUGUUCUUUAAAGAGCAUGUACUGUGUAUACUGCACAUCAGACAAGGUUCUGUUGGAACUAAUAAUUUCAUAUAAAACAUUCUUGAGAAUGAAUUGUAUCAUUAAUGUUAAGAUGGAUUGUUAAUUCAUUAUUACACAUUCAUGAUCUGCACUUCAUAAGUUAAUCUUUAAUUUUCAUGGAACUCGCAUCUUUUUUUUCUUACCGGCUCAAAUGACUGGGCCUCACAUGCGCUGUUUCGCGGAUUUCCUAUAAUGAUUAUAUAUGAAUGAAUAUGACUCGUAAAAUAACAUAAGUAAUCCAAUAUGUUAUUUUAGCUUAUGUAUACUCGUUAAUUAUUUUCUAGAAGUCCAUGUAAAAAAAAUUAACUUUUUUGUAUUUACUAAAAAAAAAUUGAUAUUCAAUUGAUUUUUACAAUUGGUAUUGUGAAAUGUGAUUAACCUUUUUUAUGCUCCCCCAAAAUUUAUUUUGAAGGGAGCAUAUAGUCGCCACUUCGUCUGUCCGUGCGUCUGUCCGUCCGUCCGUGCACAAUUUUUGUCCGGGCUAUUUCUCAGAAACUAAUGACCGGAAUUCAAUGAAACUUUAUGGGAUGCUUCACUACCAAGAGGAGAUGUGCAUAUUAUCAGCGGGUUCUGGUUGGAUGAUUUAUUUCAGAGUUAUGGCCCUUUGAAAUUUUCCAUUAAAUGUACAUAUAGUGCAAUUCUUGUCCGGGCUAUUUCUCAGCAACUAAUGACUGGAAUUCAAUGAGACUUUAUGGGAAGCUUCACGACCAAGAGGAGAUGUGCAUAUUAUCAGCGGGUUCUGGUCAGAUGAUAUUUCACAGAGUUAUGGCCCUUUGAAAUUGUCUAUAAAAAAAUUAUUGUCCCCCCCAACUACUGUGCCAUCAAAACGUUUCCUUUUAUUGACGAUGCUGCGAAGCAUACCUCGCUGAUUAUCAUUGAUAAAGGUAUAGGAAGCUCAGCUAUAAAUAGGACAGCUUAUUCUGGGAAAAGAUUUAAUAAUAGUUUGAAAACGUUAAUUUUAAAUCAGUUAUAUUCAAUCCAUUGUAUGUUUAUAGAUCAAUGAAACAACUAUGCAUUUUCUGUAUUGUAUUUGACAUUUGUCGUGAUUCAGUAAAUAAAUUGCGAAUUAAAACGUGUAUAAUUAACUUUCAACGCGAUCAUGAGUGUAAAUAAAACAAAUUAUUUCGAACCUGCCAUUUGUAAACCUUGUAGCGACUAUGGUAUAUAAACAGCAUAAUAGCCGUAUCAUAUCUGUGAUACUCGCUCUUCAGCGUGCUUUCUCAUUUUGCAGAUUAAAUAAACUUUUCAAACAUAAAUUACAGAGCCACAUCAGUGCACAUACUAUGUUUGACAAUUCAUUCGUUUGUUGGAU